AUGCUGUUUCUCACGAAGCUUGUGCAACCAGAUUUCUGCAAACUUGGCCUAAGUGCGUGUGAAGUCUGUCUUCCCUUCCACUUAGAUGCUGCCGUGGAGCCCCAGAAGAAGGAGCAGCUUCGUCCAACUGUGUCCGAUGUUCCUGUCUACUCAGACCAUAGCAGACCCGAGGUCCCAGAGCCUCCAAUCCAAACCACUACAAGUUUCCAGCUUGACCGUCCCUUUCCUUCAGCCCAGCUGGAUCCUGAGACCAGAGAUACAGCAAGUCAAGGUCUCUCAACACCGGAUCCAGGAUGUCUUCAUGAUUUGGCAGAGGAACUGAGAUGUUCCCAGUCCUGGACCAGAGAGCUUUUGUCUUGUGUGAAUGAUCUGGAGCAACUCCUGGGGCCAGCGGUGGAGCAGCGAAGUUCUGUGCAGCCCAGCCAGAGUGAGGAGCUGCAGAUAGACCUAGAGCGGUCACCGGUGCAGGAGCCGGAGCCAGAGCUGGAGUGCAGAGUUGUAAGGGCCAGGCAGAUCAUCUGUGAUAUCCAACGUAAAGUGGUGAUUCUGCAUAAUCGCCUGCAGGAUUUAGCAAGCUCUUUCCCUGCCUCCAGAUAUGGGGCUGUGCCCGUGCACCUGGCUCUUCCACCCUCAUCUGUCUUGUCGCCACCUGUGCCUCCUACACCAUUGCUGUCUUCUGCAGUUUGGUAAGCCUUGUAGUGGGCAUCAUACACUUUCUACAAGGAAUUUUAAGCUCUGCACCAUAGGUUUUUAGAGCAAGAAUAGUGUCAGGAGGAACAGGAAAAAUAUGAAGAUGGUCACUGUGUUGCAACAUGCCUCUGGGCUUCAGGCCCUGUGCUGUACCGUGGCAGGCAGUUCUGGGACUGGAGCAGUUUACUUCCUGACUGCCCUGGCUGUACUAGUGCAGCUGUUCUGUGUCUAGUGUAUAUGGUGGGGGUUUUUUUGUUUUUGGUUUGUGUUUGUUUGUUUUGUUUUGUUUUUUUCUUCAGCAGAAGUGGCAGCCUCUGGUCUCCUGGUAGCAUCAGAGGGUGAUAUUAUUAUUAUUAUUAGUCCUUACGAAAAAAAAAUAAUAAUAAUGAGUCUCUGCACUGAGCACAGUGCAGAGCUGUGCCAUCCCAGGGGGGCCAGACAUACUUGUCUUGUCCCCAGCUGUGCAUAGUGACAAGGGGCCUCUGCAAAAAAUAAAUAAAUAAAUAAAGUCUCCCA
ensembl:lncRNA